GUAGGGAAUCUUCGGCAAUGGACGAAAGUCUGACCGAGCAACGCCGCGUGAGUGAAGAAGGUUUUCGGAUCGUAAAACUCUGUUGGUAGAGAAGAACGUUGGUGAGAGUGGAAAGCUCAUCAAGUGACGGUAACUACCCAGAAAGGGACGGCUAACUACGUGCCAGCAGCCGCGGUAAUACGUAGGUCCCGAGCGUUGUCCGGAUUUAUUGGGCGUAAAGCGAGCGGAGGUGGUUUAUUAAGUCUGGUGUAAAAGGCAGUGGCUCAACCAUUGUAUGCAUUGGAAACUGGUAGACUUGAGUGCAGGAGAGGAGAGUGGAAUUCCAUGUGUAGCGGUGAAAUGCGUAGAUAUAUGGAGGAACACCGGUGGCGAAAGCGGCUCUCUGGCCUGUAACUGACACUGAGGCUCGAAAGCGUGGGGAGCAAACAGGAUUAGAUACCCCAGUAGUCC
rnacentral:rRNA from 1 species